AUGGUUGUGCUGGACCGCAGCGAUGGCUGGACAGUGGCAGUCCGCACAUCCUGCUCACCAUGCUGCAUGGGGGGCGGGGAGCAGGGGGUGGGUAAGGCGUCAGGCACGUGGGCUGGAGAACUGGCAUUUCCAUUAGUCGGUCCCGUGGGAACUCACCCUGCCUCCUGUGUCCUGAGUCCCCUCGUUUGUAAAAUGGAGGUGUUGCUCUCUCCGCCUCCAGAGUGCUCUAGUUCUGUCUCCAGAGGCAGCUCUCACCAGAGAUGCUCCCCUGUUUUCCGUUUCCUCCUCAUUUUUCAGAUGAGAGACAGAAUCAUCAUUGUGAAGAGGGAGGUUAUCAGGCUUUUUUUUUUUUUUCCCAGUAGCUCUUGUGCUUGGUAAACAUGUUGCUGAACACUUCGCGCUCUCAGGCGCUCGUGCCGUCGGCCUCCUCUCCGUCCUGUGCUGUGGGCCUGCUCUCCUUGGCGGCCCCGUCCUUCAUCCCUGUUGGAGGUGGAGGAACACAGCACUUUGUGUGCAGUGUGACCAGGUAACUCAAGCUGGCAGUAAUCAAGAUUUGGGGCUCAUUAUCAUUAAAGGGUAAUUUCAUUGCCACCCAUAAUUGAUCUUGUCUUAAAGUCAUUAUUGCACUUCUUUUGUUACAUGAUUAGAAAAAGAAAAAAAAAAAAACUGCUUUUGGCAAUAAGCUUUUGAAAAUGAGUCUCCUGCAUUCAGUUCCUUUUCAAACCGACUUUGUAAAUUUCGAGUGUGCCUUUAUUAAUGUAGUGAUUUGCCUGCUUUCUAUUACAUCUUCAAAAUAAAAGAAAAUUGGAACAGUUCAUCGUUGAAGUGAAUGUUACAAAAUCAGCAUCUGGUUUGAAUAAUGAGUUUUUUUGUCCAAGUUUUGCUUCAUUGAAUGAAGCUAAUAAAACUGCCCUCGGUUGUUAUGUCAAUGACUUCUCUUUCACUAACUUUUGGUUCCUUUCAGUUGCCAAUUUGGAGGCCACUAAGGUUUCUUUCAGAAAGUUCUUUCUUAGUGGUACUUGUUUGGAGUAACUCUCAGAUAGUGACUUUUUUUUUUUUUUUUGCUUUUUAGGUUCGCACCCGUGGCAUAUGGAGGUUCCUAGGCUAGGGGUUCAAUCCGAUCUGUGGCCGCUGGCCUACACCACAGCAAUGCAGGAUCCAAGCCACUGAGCGAGGCCAGGGAUUGAACUUGUGUCCUCAUGGAUGCUAGUCAGAUUGGUUUCUGCCGAGCCACGGCGGGAAGUCCAUCAGAUAGUGACUUUUUGGUCCCCAGCAGAGUGGAUGUGAUGAUAGCCCCUUAUCACAAAAAUCAUGAGGUUGGGACAUUUUAAGUAUCUUUUCCACCCUUCAAGCUCUUGGGACAAAAGUAAGGUGAAAAAAGAAGUCUAGAGUUGUAAUGACAGAAAGUUAGCAAUGAAAUCCCCUUACUAUUCAGGGUCAGGUGUCUAGGCACCUGUCCCCAAGUUUUGUUUCUACUUUGAACUUGGAUCUUAUAGCUUAUAGAGAUAUAGUUGCACCUGGGUAAUAAUAAUACCAACUAGAGAAUACAAAGCCAUCCCCGCUGCUCCUGCCAGGAACACACAGGCACACGCAUGUAACACAUGCCCACGCAAACACAGACACUCCCAGGAAGUUUCCUGAAGGUAAAUAUGCUUUUUGCUACUACGUUUCCUGAUCCGUAGAUAUCCACGCUAAUGAUACUUCGAAAGUACCUUCAGAUUCAUCAUUUGACUUGGCUUUUAACGUGGGAUGGGUAGUCUCUCUUAUCCUCAUUACCAAUGAAGAACUUCAAAGAAGUACUGUGACUUCCUCAAAGACAUAUAGCUGUCACGUGGGAGGAAGGAUUGGUGUUUAUAAAUGCCUAGUUUUACAUUUCAUCACAAAUCCUGUUUUGCUCGUUUCUCUUCAGUGAAAAGCUUAAGAAAUGAAUGAAUGAUGGAGUUCCCGUCAUGGCUCAGUGGUUAACGAAUCCGACUAGGAACCAUGAGGUUGUGGGUUCGAUCCCUGGCCUUGCUCAGUGGGUUAAGGAUCUGUUGUUGCCAUGAGCUGGGGUGUAGGUCAUAGAUGUGGCUCGGAUCCCGUGUUGCUGUGGCUGUGGUGUAGGCCAGUGGCUACAGCUCUGAUCUGACCCCUAGCCUGGGAACCUACAUGUGCCGUGGUUGCGGCCCUAGAAAAGACAAAAAAAAAAAAAAUGAAUGAAUGCACGAAUGAACCAAGGAAGAAACAAAUAUAACAACAUCCUGACACAAUAAAACCCUAAAGGGAAAUAUCUCCAAUAGUCAGUAAAACAUAGCAAUUUUUGGCUGAGUAAUAAUUCGCAUUACUUAGCUCUAUAGAAAAACAACAGAAUACCUCUUUAUCUAUGAAUAUUUUGAUACACAGAUGGUUAUCAAAACACACCAGGCUGAGAUUGCUGCUUCCUUUAGCUAAAUAUAGUUGUCCACUGCAUAGGGUCUUCGGGAAGCUGCCCAACUUGGGGAUCGCAANNNNNNNNNNNNNNNNNNNNNNNNNNNNNNNNNNNNNUGAUUGUGUUUUCUACUGUGCUCCUUGCAAGACAAAAACUUGGGGCUGGAAUUGAAAGGUCCUGCCAGGCAAGGCUCGCAGGUGCGAGUGUGAUUUCAGGUAACUGAAAAAUCAGGUGCCUCUGGAUGGCACGUGAGCACGUCACCAGUCUUAAUCGUCCGGGACUCUGGGGCAGCGAAUACGUCCUUUACUCACCUUGCUGACCGAACUCUGCCUUCUCCGAGACUUCGAGAAUCUGGAACCUUUGUGCUCCCUCUCUCUUUUUUUUUUUAGCUUCAAAAUUCUUUGUGGUCAAUUUUUUUUCCCUCUGAUGAUGCUUCUUUUAAAAUUCAAACUUUUCGAGAGCCAAAGGGGUGUUUUCCUUUUACUGGUUAACGUGUGUGAGGUGCCCGUGUUCCUUAAAAAACACCUUGUGUACUUGUGUCAUUUAACCUUUGCUGCUUCAUCCCGGCUCUUUCCUGGCAACUCCUUACUGGACCCUAUUCCUUUAAAUUCACCUCGGCCACUUGAGAUUCUAGGCCUCAAAUUCCUGUCUCUUUGGGCUUGGCUGCAUCUUCAUUAUUUGGCCUAGUUUGGACCUCAGCAGCCGAGGCAAGGUAAGAACCUCCCUCCUACCUAUUUUUUUGUUUUGUCUUUUUUUUUUUUUGCUUUUUCUUUGGGCCGCUUCCGCGGCAUAUGGGGGGUCCCAGGCUAGGGGUCGAAUCGGAGCUAUAGCUGCCAGCCUACACCAGAGCCACAGCAAUGCAGGAUCCA
rnacentral:lncRNA from 1 species